GACGAACGCUGGCGGCGUGCUUAACACAUGCAAGUCGAACGGAAAGGCCCUGCUUUUGUGGGUGGCUCGAGUGGCGAACGGGUGAGUAACACGUGAGUAACCUGCCUUUGACUUUGGGAUAACUUCAGGAAACUGGGGCUAAUACCGGAUAGGAGCUCCGGCUGCAUGGUGGGGGUUGGAAAGUUUCGGCGGUUGGGGAUGGACUCGCGGCUUAUCAGCUUGUUGGUGGGGUAGUGGCUUACCAAGGCUUUGACGGGUAGCCGGCCUGAGAGGGUGACCGGCCACAUUGGGACUGAGAUACGGCCCAGACUCCUACGGGAGGCAGCAGUGGGGAAUAUUGCACAAUGGGCGGAAGCCUGAUGCAGCAACGCCGCGUGCGGGAUGACGGCCUUCGGGUUGUAAACCGCUUUCGCCUGUGACGAAGCGUGAGUGACGGUAAUGGGUAAAGAAGCACCGGCUAACUACGUG
rnacentral:rRNA from 1 species